rnacentral:lncRNA from 1 species
UCCUUUCUUGCUGUUAUAAUAUGCGAAAGCGAAAUUACCUUUGCCUCUUUCUGUUAUAUUAGAGAGAAACAAGAGGGAGACACUUUCUUCGCCGGUAACAAAAAAUAAUAUCGUAAAAGCUCAUCAACCUCCCUUCCGUCGUCCAACUAAAACUCAACGACAUAUACAUUGAGCCAGCUAAACAAAUACAUACAAUGCCUCUGGUAUUAAUAAAGAAAGAGUUUUAGUAGUGAUGAGUAAUCGAAGUAGGGGCAUAUGUGGAAAUGAAUUAAAAUAGUGUCGUUUCCUUUCUUGCUGUUAUAAUAUGCGAAAGCGAAAUUACCUUUGCCUCUUUCUGUUAUAUUAGAGAGAAACAAGAGGGAGACACUUUCUUCGCCGGUAACAAAAAAUAAUAUCGUAAAAGCUCAUCAACCUCCCUUCCGUCGUCAAUGUCUUCUCGCAGGAGAGUUCUUCUUAAGGUUAUCAUCCUCGGCGAUAGCGGGUAACUUUCUCUUCUCUUCGAUUUUGUUUUCUUCGUUAUUAAAGAAACGAUUUGAUGUGAUUUUGAUUUUUU